rnacentral:sRNA from 17 species
GUCAGUAACUCAGGGCUAAAGCCACUGAGCUUGUAAGAGCAAGUCUCAAAGCAAGCUAUUCUGACCAGCCUAAGUCUUAACGACUACGUUAUUUGGGUCACGACACCCCGGAAUCCGAAGCUAGUUCCCUGCUCUGUC